rnacentral:rRNA from 1 species
UACGUAGGGGGCAAGCGUUGUCCGGAAUCAUUGGGCGUAAAGCGCGUGUAGGCGGCUGGCUAAGUCCGCUCUGAAAGCCCGGGGGCUCAACCCCGGGAGGCGGGUGGAUACUGGUCAGCUCGAGUCCGGAAGAGGAGUGUGGAAUUCCUGGUGUAGCGGUGAAAUGCGCAGAUAUCAGGAGGAACACCGGUGGCGAAGGCGGAUCUCUGGGCCGUAACUGACGCUGAGGAGCGAAAGCAUGGGGAGCGAACAGG